rnacentral:rRNA from 1 species
UACGUAGGGGGCAAGCGUUGUCCGGAAUCAUUGGGCGUAAAGCGCGUGUAGGCGGUCCGGUAAGUCCGCUGUAAAAGUCGGGGGCUCAACCCUCGGAUGCCGGUGGAUACUGUCGGGCUUGAGUACGGAAGAGGCGAGUGGAAUUCCUGGUGUCGCGGUGAAAUGCGCAGAUAUCAGGAGGAACACCAAUUGCGAAGGCAGCUCGCUGGGACGUUGCUGACGCUGAGACGCGAAAGCGUGGGGAGCAAACAGG